UCCCAGAUGGCUCAGUGGUAAAGAGUCUGCCUGAAAUUCAGGAGAUGCAGGUUCAAUUCCUGGGUUGUGAA
rnacentral:tRNA from 1 species